UACGUAGGUGGCAAGCGUUGUCCGGAUUUAUUGGGCGUAAAGCGCGCGCAGGCGGUCCUUUAAGUCUGAUGUGAAAUCUUGUGGCUCAACCGCAAGCGGUCAUUGGAAACUGGGGGACUUGAGUACAGAAGAGGAAAGCGGAAUUCCACGUGUAGCGGUGAAAUGCGUAGAGAUGUGGAGGAACACCAGUGGCGAAGGCGGCUUUCUGGUCUGUAACUGACGCUGAGGCGCGAAAGCGUGGGGAGCAAACAGG
rnacentral:rRNA from 1 species